UUCUCAUCAGCUGCCUGGAGCUUCCUCAGCCGCAUCCUUUCUCUUGGUGUCAUUUUCUGCACUUCAGACAGCGCCCGCAGAGUCUGCAGAGUCAUCUCCGAAUAUCUACACAUCAGGUGCUAAAAUAGAAAACAACCCUGAUGCACCUUAAAUACUCCUCUUCAGGGAUGAAAGGGCAUAAAACUACCAGGGGUCUUUUCUGAUGUGCAAUAUUAAUGACCAUGCCUGGGAGCUUGAAAAUAAAACCCACUGUGUUCCUGAUAAUGUAUGAUUACUUUUUCUUGGGUACUGGGUCCUCUUCCCAGCAAUCAAAUUGCAAAAGACGGGAGCCAUAGACCUUCCUUUCAGUUGUGCACCCAGCACACAACUGAUGGGUGCACAUCAAGUCAGCAUCCUUGUUUCCUGCCAACGUAGAAACUGGACGCGGACGAAAAGGUGUGACCAUUUUUGAAGGUGAAUGACUGUUUGUGGGUCCACUUAAAAUUAGUCAUAAAAUUAAAGGAAAUUUGCCUGAG